AACGAACGCUGGCGGCACGCCUAACACAUGCAAGUCGAGCGGCAGCGAGUUUAGCAGCAAUACUAAAUGUCGGCGAGCGGCGGACGGGUGAGUAAUACGUAGGAACCUGCCCUUGAGCGGGGGAUAACUAAGGGAAACUUUAGCUAAUACCGCAUAAACUCGAGAGAGCAAAGUUGCCGUAAGGUGACACUCGAGGAGGGGCCUGCGUCCGAUUAGCUAGUUGGUAGGGUAAGAGCCUACCAAGGCGAUGAUCGGUAACUGGUCUGAGAGGACGACCAGUCACACUGGGACUGAGACACGGCCCAGACUCCUACGGGAGGCAGCAGUGGGGAAUAUUGGACAAGGGGGGCAACCCUGAUCCAGCGAUGCCGCGUGAGUGAAGAAGGCCUUCGGGUCGUAAAGCUCUUUAGGUUGGGAAGAAGGGUGUGCGUUGAUAAUGCGUGCAUUUUGACAGUACCGACAGAAUAAGCACCGGCAAACUCUGUGCCAGCCGCCGCAGUAA
rnacentral:rRNA from 1 species